rnacentral:rRNA from 1 species
GUAGGUGGCAAGCGUUGUCCGGAAUUACUGGGCGUAAAGCGCGCGCAGGUGGUUCUUUAAGUCUGAUGUGAAAGCCCCCGGGCUCAACCGGGGAGGGUCAUUGGAAACUGGGGAACUUGAGUGCAGGAGAGGAAAGUGGAAUUCCACGUGUAGCGGUGAAAUGCGUAGAUAUGUGGAGGAACACCAGUGGCGAAGGCGACUUUCUGGCCUGUAACUGACACUGAGGCGCGAAAGCGUGGGGAGCAAACAGGAUUAGAUACCCUGGUAGUCCACGCCGUAAACGAUGAGUGCUAAGUGUUGGGGGGUUUCCGCCCCUCAGUGCUGCAGCUAACGCAUUAAGCACUCCGCCUGGGGAGUACGGUCGCAAAGACUG